AGCGAACGCUGGCGGCGUGCUUAACACAUGCAAGUCGAGUGCGCAGUUUCCCUGUAGCAAUACAGGGAAAUGGGCGCACGGCGCACGGGUGAGUAACACGUGGGCAACCUGCCCUACAAGUGGGGGAUAACCCGCCGGAAAGGGCGGGCUAAUACCGCAUGACAUUACGGUGGCUUCGGCCGCUGUAAUCAAAGGCCGAAAGGUCGUUGGAGGGAGGGGCCCGCGCCCGAUUAGCUUAGNGGUGAGGUAACGGCUCACCAAGGCAUUGAUCGGUAGCCGGUCUGAGAGGAUGGCCGGCCACACUGGAACUGAGACACGGUCCAGACACCUACGGGUGGCAGC
rnacentral:rRNA from 1 species